CCUUUCUCCCUCCAUCAUCACCACCUUGAGCUCCGCCCGUUCUCACAACACCACUGCCGCUGCCACCAGCAUCCUUACAUCUUCCAUGGAAGCUAGCACCGGACUUGUGGCCGGUUCUCACAACCCCAAUGAGGUCGUCGUCAUUCUCAGCCAUGAAGAGGUGCAGCCAAAGCCUUCGAACUCGAAGAAAUUGGAUGGGCAAGUGUGCGAGAUAUGCGGUGAUGAGGUUGGGCUCACGGUCGAUGGAGAUUUGUUUGUGGCAUGCCAUGAGUGUGGAUUUCCGGCGUGUAGGCCUUGCUAUGAGUAUGAGAGGAGAGAAGGGACCCAAUUGUGCCCUCAGUGCAAGACUCGAUACCAGCGUCUGAAAGGAAGCGCAAGAGUGGAGGGUGAUGAAGAUGAAGAAGAUAUCGACGAUAUUGAGCACGAAUUCAAUGUUGAAGUUGAACAGAACAAGCACAAGCACCUUGCAGAAGCUAUGCUUCAUGGGAAGAUGAGCUAUGGAAGAGGACCUCAUGAUGACGACAAUGCUCAAUUCCCACCAGUUAUAGCUGGUGUCAGAUCCCAACCGGUAAAUGGAGAGUUCCCAGUCUCAUCUUAUGGUCAAGGAGAGCAGAUGAUGCCUUCUUCCCUUCAUAAACGAGUUCAUCCAGAUCCAAUUUCUGAACCUAGAAGUGAAGGAUGGGAUGAAAAGAACGAGAGAGGGUGGAAAAAAAGGAUGGAUGACUGGAAACUGCAGCAAGGCAACCUAGGCCAUAAUGACAUCAAUGACCCAGACAUGGCAGCGAUAGACGAGGCUAGGCAGCCACUUUCUAGGAAAGUUCCUAUUGCACCUAGCAAGAUCAACCCCUAUCGGAUGCUAAUAGUCGUUCGACUUGUUGUAAUGGUCUUCUUAUUGCAGUACAGAAUUUCGAAUCCAGUGCACGAUGCAAUUGGUCUCUGGCUAACAUCCAUACUCUGUGAGAUAUGGUUCACUUUAUCAUGGAUCCUGGAUCAGUUCCCAAAAUGGUUCCCAAUUGAUCGCGAGACCUAUCUCGAUCGCCUUUCUCUCAGGUAGGCAAUAGAAGGUGAACCUAGUAUGCUUUCCCCAGUAGACAUUUUUGUGACUACAGUAGAUCCUAUGAAGGAGCCUCCACUUGUGACUGCAAACACAGCUCUAUCGAUAUUGGCUAUGGACUAUCCAGUGGAUAAGAUCUCCUGCUAUGUUCAUGAUGAUGGAGCUUCCAUGCUCACCUUUGAAUCUUUGUCCGAAACUGCGGAGUUUGCUCGAAAAUGGGUACCCUUCUGCAAAAAGUUCUCUAUAGAGCCUCGAGCCCCGGAAAUGUACUUCAAUUUGAAGAUUGAUUAUCUCCAAGACAAAGUCCAGCCAACCUUUGUCAAAGAGCGGCGAGCAAUGAAGAGGGAAUAUGAAGAAUUCAAAGUGCGGAUCAAUGCCUUGGUUGCUAAAGCUUCGAUUGUACCCCCAGAGGGAUGGACCAUGCAAGAUGGGACACCAUGGCCAGGAAACAACACACAGGAUCGUCCAGGUAUGAUUCAAGUUUUCCUUGGACACAAUGGAGAUCUUGAUGCAGAAGGAAAUGAGCUCCCUCACCUUGUUUAUGUGUCUCGUGAGAGGAGGCCUGGCUUCCUACAUCACAAGAAAGCUGGUGCCAUGAAUGCCUUGGUUCGUGUCUCCGGCGUGCUUACAAAUGCUCCUUUCAUGCUGAACUUGGACUGUGACCACUACAUAAAUAACAGCAAAGCUGUACGCGAGGCAAUGUGCUUCUUGAUGGACCCUAAGAUAGGAAAGAAAGUUUGCUUUGUCCAAUUCCCUCAAAGAUUUGAUGGCAUUGAUAGGCAUGACCGAUAUGCCAACAAAAACACAGUUUUCUUUGAUAUCAACAUGAAAGGUCUAGAUGGAAUCCAGGGCCCAGUCUAUGUGGGCACUGGAUGUGUCUUCCGAAGAAAAGCAUUAUAUGGCUACAAACCCCCCAAGGAUCCUAAGCGUCCAAAGAUGGUAAGCUGUGACUGCUGCCCAUGCUUUGGCCACCGGAAAAAACUCCCACAGUAUUCCAAGCAUGGUGCCAGUGGGGAAGCUGCAAAUCUGCAAGGAGUGGAUGAUGACAAGGAGCUAUUGAAGUCCCAGAUAAAUUUCGAGAAGUUUGGGCAGUCAGCGAUAUUCACAACUUCAACUUUGAUGGACCAGGGUGGUGUACCCCCCUCUUCAAGUCCAGCAGCCCUGCUGAAAGAAGCCAUCCAUGUUAUCAGUUGUGGGUACGAAGAUAAAACUGAAUGGGGCACUGAGCUGGGCUGGAUUUACGGUUCUAUCACAGAGGAUAUCCUAACAGGCUUCAAGAUGCAUUGCCGUGGUUGGAGGUCCAUAUAUUGUAUGCCAAAGAGACCAGCAUUCAAGGGAUCUGCUCCAAUCAAUCUUUCGGAUCGGCUCAGUCAAGUGCUUCGUUGGGCACAUGGCUCUGUUGAGAUAUUUUUAAGCCACCAUUGUCCAGUCUGGUAUGGUUACAAAGGAGGGAAGCUUAGGUGGCUUCAACGGUUUGCAUAUGUUCACACAACCAUAUAUCCUUUCACCUCUUUACCACUCGUUGUCUACUGUACUCUACCGGCCAUUUGCUUGCUCACAGACAAGUUCAUCAUGCCACCUAUUAGCACUUUUGCCAGUCUUUUCUUCAUUGGUCUUUUUAUCUCAAUGUUCGCGACGAGCAUUCUUGAAUCAAGGUGGAGUGGAGUGGGCAUUGAGGAAUGGUGGAGAAAUGAGCAAUUCUCAAUCAUUGGUGGUGUGUCGGCUCACCUGUUUGCUGUUGUCCUGGGUCUCCUGAAGAUUUUGGCUAAAGUAGACACUGAUUUCACAGUGACAUCUAAAGCAGCCCAUGAUGAAGAAUUUGGAGACCUGUACGCAUUCAAAUGGACGGCCUUGUUAAUCCCUCCCACAACAAUAUUGAUUAUAAACCUAGUCGGAAUAGUCGCUGGAUUCACUGAUGCCAUUAACAAUGGGAACCAAGCAAUGGGACUGCUGCUUGGUAAACUAUUCUUCUCCUUUUGGGUGAUUGCCCAUCUCUAUCCCUUCCUCAAAGGGCUGAUGGGGCGACAGAACCGAACACCAACCAUAGUGGUAAUAUGGUCAAUACUACUGGCUUCUAUAUUCUCCUUGCUGUGGGUCAAAAUUGAUCCGUUUGUGCUAAAGACUGGGGGACCUGAUACUAAGCAAUGUGGAAAUAAUUGCUAAAUCUCAAAAUUCCUGCUUCAGUGUGUGCAUCUCCUGAAGUACAAGGACAUUUCGUCCAGAUGAACUUAGUGUACAAAUCCACAGCACAGAAGUGCUGAGAUUGAAUAAAGAUAGAGUGUGUAUUUUGCGAAGUACAAAGCAAAAAUGCCCAUUUUCAUAAGUGAAUGAAGGUCUUCUUACAAAAAACCAA